ACUAAAAUGGCAGACAGAUGUGUGAGAUUUAGGAUCUUAUUAGGACGGCGAAGCCUUCUUUUAGUA
rnacentral:tRNA from 1 species